GACGAACGCUGGCGGCGUGCUUAACACAUGCAAGUCGAACGGCCAGGCCCUGCUUUUGUGGUGUGCUCGAGUGGCGAACGGGUGAGUUCCCCGUGAGUAACCCGCCCUUGCUUUAGGGCUACCUCCCGCAACCUGGUGCUAAUUCCGUACAGCAGCCCUCGCUCCACGGUGGCGGUGGGAAAUUUCCGGCGGUUGGGGAUGGUCUCGCGGCUUAUCAGUUUGUUGGUGGGGUAGUGGCCUACCAAGGCUUCGACGGGUAGCCGGCCUGAGCGGGUGACCGGCCACAUUGGGACUGAGAUACGGCCCAGACUCCUACGGGGGGCAGCAGUGGAGAAUAUUGCACAAUGGGCGGAAGCCUGAUGCAGCAACGCCGCGUGCGGGAUGACGGCCUUCGGGUUGUAAACCGCUUUCGCCUGUGACGAAGCGUGAGUGACGGUAAUGGGUAAAGAAGCACCGGCUAACUACGUG
rnacentral:rRNA from 1 species